AAUCACCACAAAUACAAUUGAAAGUAAAAAGAAAGGAGAAACUCACAUGUUGAAAAAAGCAGAAUACCAAUGAAUAUUAUAGCUGAUCU
rfam:Eutrema salsugineum unplaced genomic scaffold scaffold_1, whole genome shotgun sequence.